rnacentral:tRNA from 2 species
UCUAAUGUGGCAGAAAAGUGCGUUAGACUUAAGCUCUAAACAUAAAAGUGAGAAUCUUUUCAUUAGAA